CCUACGAGUGGCAGCAGUGAGGAAUAUUUGUCAAUGGGCGCGAGCCUGAACCAGCCAAGUAGCGUGAAGGAUGACUGCCCUACGGGUUGUAAACUUCUUUUAUAAAGGAAUCAAGUGAGGCACGUGUGCCUUUUUGUAUGUACUUUAUGAAUAAGGAUCGGCUAACUCCGUGACAGCAGCCGCGGUAAUACGGAGGAUCCGAGCGUUAUGCGGAUUUAUUGGGUUUAAAGGGAGCGUCGAUGGGUUGUUAAGUCAGUUGUGAAGGUGUGCGGCUCAACCGUAAAAUUGCAAUUGCUACUGGCAGUACUGAGUACAGUUGAGGUAGGCGGAAUUCGUGGUGUAGCGGUGAAAUGCUUAGAUAUCACGAAGAACUCCGAUUGCGAAGGCAGCUUACUAAACUGCCACUGACAUUGAUGCUCGAAAGUGUGGGUAUCAAACAGGAUUAGAUACCCUUGUAGUC
rnacentral:rRNA from 1 species